AUUCCUACGGGAGGCAGCAGUGGGGAAUAUUGCACAAUGGAGGAAACCCUGAUGCAGCAACGCCACGUGUGGGAAGACGCAUUUCGGUGUGUAAACCACUGUCGAUAGGGAAUAAUUAUGGACUUCGGUUCAGUUGAAUGUACCUAUAAAGGAAGCACCGGCAAACUUCGUGCCAGCAGCCGCGGUAAUAAU
rnacentral:rRNA from 1 species